rnacentral:rRNA from 1 species
UACGGAGGCCACGAGCGUUAGGCGGAAUCACUGGGCGUAAAGGGCGCGUAGGUGGCUCACGCAAGCGUGCGGUGAAAGCCCGGGGCUCAACUGUGGGCCUGCAGCCGAUACGGGCGGGCUGGAGUUCGGUAGGGGAGACUGGAAUUCCUGGUGUAGCGGUGAAAUGCGCAGAUAUCAGGAGGAACACCGGUGGCGAAGGCGGAUCUCUGGGCCUUACCUGACGCUGAGGCGCGAAAGCGUGGGGAGCAAACAGG